GCAGCAUUGCCGCGAGAGUUUUGGCUCCAAAAUAUUACAUUUUUCGGCACCACCUCCCCGCGACCCUCAAAAUAAAGAUAUUCCAAAAUUUUCAAUCAAUGAGACAAUGCCCAUAAUUUGAAAAAUAAAAGGAGAAAAACAUUUCAUUCAGUCAGAUCUAAAACUCGUGGAUUCGUAUCUCUCAAAAUACUCAAAGGUGCGGUGGUCGACGAAUUAGCUCCGGCGACUAUCUGAGGCACGGUGGGCGACGAUAUCAUCUCCGAUGACGAGCUGAGGGCACGGUGGCCGGAAAUAUCAUCUUCUCCACUUCUUCGUUCGAUUACAGAGAAUUUACUACUAACCAGCUAUUCAUGGCAGUCUCCUUGGAUCACCUUCCUGGUUGCAUGUGAAGGAGAUACUGAACCCUGAAACUUCUCCUGGUGCAGAGCCUUGGGUUUACCAUACAAUACAUGCGUUUUUUGUCUUCUUAUUUAAUAUAUUUUACAUUUGUGGUCUUGUUGAGGUGAAUUCUUAUGAGGUGUGAAACAAUUGGUGCAUGUAUCACUGAACUUUUUGAAGUUUAUGCAGCACUGAGGAGAAUGAAUGCAUCCUAGGCAGCUGACAUUCGCUACUACUUGAACUACCUUAGGAAAAAUGGUGACUUUCUUGGUGGGAACUGGAAAAUUCACGGAUUGGAUGAAAAAUAGU